GACGACGCUGGCGGCGUGGAUUAGGCAUGCAAGUCGAACGGUAUCAUCCUUUCGGGGGUGAGAGAGUGGCGAACUGGUGAGUAACACGUAGGUUAUCUACCCUCAAGACGGGGACAACCCAGGGAAACUUGGGCUAAUACCGGAUGUGAGCAACUUUUAGUGUUUGAAAGGUGGCGUAAGCUGUCGCUUGGGGAUGAGCCUGCGUCCUAUUAGUUAGUUGGUGAGGUAACGGCUCACCUAGGCAAUGAUAGGUAGGCGGCCUUAACGGGUGGUCGCCCACACUGGGAUUGAGAUACGGCCCAGACUCCUACGGGAGGCAGCAGUCGAGAAUAGUCUACAAUGGUCGGAAGACUGAUAGUGCGACGCCGCGUGAACGAUGAAUCCCUUCGGGGUGUAAAGUUCUUUUAUAUGUGAGCAGUGCUUCUUAUAUUAACAGUAUGGGGAGAGAGAUAUUAGCAUAUGAAUAAGCAACGGCUAACUCCGUG
rnacentral:rRNA from 1 species